AACGCACAUUGCGCCCCUUGGUAUUCCGAGGGGCAUGCCUAUUCGAGCGUCAUUAUCACCCCUCAAGCUCAGCUUGGUGUUGAGGCCUGCUGUCAAGGCAGCCUCUAAAAGCAGUGGCAGUGCUGUCAGGCUCUAAGCGUAGUAAUCUCUCUCGCUACAGACACCUGAUGGACGCUCGCCAGAACCCCCCCAUCUUUUAAUGAUUGACCUCGGAUUAGGUAGGGAUACCCGCUGAACUUAA
rnacentral:misc_RNA from 1 species